UCCUACGGGGGGCAGCAGUGAGGAAUAUUGGUCAAUGGGCGCGAGCCUGAACCAGCCAAGUCGCGUGAGGGAAGACGGUCCUAUGGAUUGUAAACCUCUUUUGUCGGGGAGCAAAAGACGCCACGCGUGGCGUUCCGAGAGUACCCGAAGAAAAAGCAUCGGCUAACUCCGUGCCAGCAGCCGCGGUAAUACGUAGGGGGCGAGCGUUAUCCGGAUUUACUGGGUGUAAAGGGAGCGUAGACGGUUCUGCAAGUCUGAAGUGAAAGCCCGUGGCUUAACCGCGGAACGGCUUUGGAAACUGUGGG
rnacentral:rRNA from 1 species